rnacentral:lncRNA from 1 species
CUGCUAAACCACGAGCCAAGUAAUCAGAACACGAAAUAAAGACGAGAAAAAUAAGAAAUCGUAAAAAGAGAGCAAAAAGAAGUCUUAUUCAGAAUUUGCGUAUGAGCGUUACAACAAGGUAGAAGCCUCGGCUACGAGAGCUGUCGGCGAGGGUCCUAGUUCUAACAACCUAAGACUGCAAAACCUAUUUGAGUCGCAGCUCGAGAAAACAAAAACAGAAAGUUGCCUAAAUGCUUUAAGUGCUAAGU